rnacentral:rRNA from 1 species
CGCGUAGGCGGUGCCACAAGUCACUUGUGAAAUCCCCGGGCUUAACUCGGGGCCUGCAGGCGAAACUGUGGUGCUGGAGUAUGGGAGAGGUGCGUGGAAUCCCCGGUGUAGCGGUGAAAUGCGUAGAUAUCGGGAGGAACACCUGUGGCGAAAGCGGCGCACUGGACCAUAACUGACGCUGAGGCGCGAAAGCUAGGGGAGCAAACAGGAUUAGAUACCCUGGUAGUCCUAGCCCUAAACGAUGAUUGCUUGGUGUAGCAGGUACCCAAUCCUGCUGUGCCGCAGCUAACGCGAUAAGCAAUCCGCCUGGGGAGUACGGUCGCAAGGCUGAA